AACGAACGCUGGCGGCAGGCUUAACACAUGCAAGUCGAGCGCUGUAGCAAUACAGAGCGGCGCACGGGUGAGUAACACGUGGGAAUAUGCCCUAUGGUUCGGAAUAACUCAGGGAAACUUGAGCUAAUACCGGAUAAGCCCUUACGGGGAAAGAUUUAUCGCCAUUGGAGUAGCCCGCGUCCGAUUAGCUAGUUGGUGGGUAAAGCCACCAAGGCGACGAUCGGUAGCUGGCUGAGAGGACGACCAGCCACACUGGGACUGAGACACGGCCCAGACACCUACGGGUGGCAGCAGUCGAGAAUUUUUCUUC
rnacentral:rRNA from 1 species